UGUUCGGCAGCAGCUCCAUCUCGCGGGCGGGCGAACCGAUCCGCGGCGAGCGACCUACGCAUAACCGGGCGGGAGAGGCCAUGCCUGGUUCUUGCGAUGCGAGCGAGAGGAUCUCCUCGCGGGGCAACACCAUGGUGCAGUGACGGGAUAGCAAACCAUCGCCCGGCGAUUCAGUCAUCGGAAUAGAAGUCAUUGUUGGUACAGACCUUAAUGGCAAUUGAUUUGCCCACUUGCCGGCGUCCGUUCCUACUCACUUAAUGAAGGCGCUCCGAGUUAAUGGAUUCAUGGUCGUUUCCGAUGGGUUGGGUUUUUCUUCCCCUCCAAUGGCGAACUGUCAGGUUAUUAUCCGUGUGUCAUCUUACUAUGUGUGCUCAACCUGCUGCACAGAGUGUCUACAGUUGGACGGAAUCCAAGGGAGCCAUAGCUUCGUAUAACGAUGGCAUAUGGAGCAAUUCUUCUGUUUAUCCUUUUGGACAAUGAAUUUACAUGCUUUUCCGAAGACUCUAAUUGAAGGUACAUACAUACAGGCAUAUCUGAGGUAUCCACGACAAAAUAAAGUCAAUCAUGGAUUGGAUCCAUACCCAGCUUGGACAUGAACCAAUAUUCUCUCAAAAGCUUGGUAAAGAAUCUUUGUUUAAUGAAGAGUACUUGAAAAAGGAAUACUGAUUUGGUCUGAGAUUUUUGUCUGAUCAUGUAUUGUUGUGGCCACAAGCGCUCCCUUCACUGUAAACUUCCGCGUUGUCAUCAGGACGAUGUUAAAAUGCAGUCUAUGCGCGCGUGUGUGUGCGUGCACAUAUAGCAGUUAGCAUUUCCAAAAGGUUGUGAAGCUCAACACUUUCUGUAAGCACUUUGUGCUCUUCAUAUGGCAAUGCACGUUCUUAAUAUGAUGCAUGAUGUUUCAUCUCUGACCAUUUAUUGUGACAUGAUUAGUGUCUUGUGGCAUAUUAUUUUUAGGUAAUUGAAGGAGAUAAGAUAAAUUUUCUUGACAAAGCCAAAGCCAAGCAUGUUCUUAAAAUCAUGUAAGGUGUUAGCAAGUAAGCAUCUUCAGUCAUUAUUUUUGCAGCAUGUUCUGGAUGUAAAUCAGAUGCCUGAUGCCAUGUAUAAUACGCAGAGGUUUCAGCCAAUUUGUUUUCAUGCAAAACAAUAGGAAUUUCUCCCUACUGUGUGUAUUUAUAAUAUUUUUCAAUGAGUGUAUACUGACAUGGGUUGCAUCAGAAAACAUUUGUUGAACCGAACAGUUACAUAUAUAGGUGGCCUUGUGUGAUGUUAGUUUUAGUUAAUUCCCGAGCUGGAUAGUGAUGACCAUCUAAAAUUUCCCAAGGCUCUGUACAUAUACAACAAAACUGAAAAGGAUUGGGUGGAGCAUGCCAGCACCUGGGUUUGUUGAGCUCAAUAUAGAUGCCUCUUUGGAUGAAAUCAUUUAUGCAAUUAUGCUAGAGCAAUCAUGCGAUAUGGUAAAGGUUUCUCGUAUAGCCGUUUCAAAAUAUGAAACUGGAUUAUGUCCAGGAUGCUCAGAUUGUGGAAGCUCAUGACCUAAGACAUGGCUUACUACUGCUGUUAAAUCCAACGACGUGGAGGUAGACAUGACUAUGAAGGAUGGUUGUCACUUGUCGGUCACACCGCCUGACGACGAUAGUAGUGUGUGAUGACUGCUACCACUUAAUACACAGAUUUUGUCAAGAUAAUCUUCGACCACUGUCCCUAUGAAGAUAAAGCAGUUAUCCAUGAGUUUGUUGUGUUGGGAGACGAGGAUCCCCCACCUUGGUACCUCUUUUUUCUAGGGAACCAUUGUACCUCUUUUACCUGGA